UUGUUUUACAAGGUAUUCAACACCAAUAUGGAAAGAAAGGUGGACGUUGCUACCUAUUUUGAUAGGUCUGGAGAUGCUGGCCAGGGAAGAAACAGGGAGACGAUGCAGCGCCGUGGAUAUGGAAGUAGAGACCCUGCACACGGUCGAUGCGAAGCGAGGCAUCCUUGAGUGUGUGGCUGCUGGACGUUGACGUGGCUGGGGAAUGAAGCGGCGCUGGAGCGACUAGGACGACGGCUCGCUGAUGUGGAACGACGGCUGGGACGGCAGCCGGCUAGGACGGCGGCUGGACGUAGAGGGAGCGGCUCAACGGCGACUAGAUGGUGAGGGAGCGGCUCGACGGUAGCCGGGCAGCGCCGCAACAAGGGGUGCCAAUCCAUUUGGCGGCUAGCUCGACUGGCUUCAUGGAGACGGGAGGCGAUAGACGAAGAUGGGGCUCACGUGGCUGAAUGGCGAGGGGGCGAGAGACGACGCGGAUGGAGUCACGGUCCGGAUGUGGGGUGUCGGGGAUAUACCCGUAGUGUAAUCCGGCUUGGAGUAUGACCCGUCAAAGGACUUGGUGACUCACCGGCGACUCAGCAGUGAAC
rnacentral:lncRNA from 1 species